rnacentral:rRNA from 1 species
UACGGAGGGGGCUAGCGUUGUUCGGAAUUACUGGGCGUAAAGCGCACGUAGGCGGCUUUGUAAGUUAGAGGUGAAAGCCUGGAGCUCAACUCCAGAAUUGCCUUUAAGACUGCAUCGCUUGAAUCCAGGAGAGGUGAGUGGAAUUCCGAGUGUAGAGGUGAAAUUCGUAGAUAUUCGGAAGAACACCAGUGGCGAAGGCGGCUCACUGGACUGGUAUUGACGCUGAGGUGCGUAAAGCGUGGGGAGCAAACAGG